rnacentral:rRNA from 2 species
CCUAUGGGCGCAGCAGCGAGAAAACUUUGCAAUGUGCGCAAGCACGACAAGGUUUAAUCCGAGUGAUUCUGCUAAAGGAAUCUUUUGUUAAUCCUAAAAACACUAGCGAAUAAGGGGUGGGCAAGUUCUGGUGUCAGCCGCCGCGGUAAAACCAGCACCUCAAGUGGUCAGGAGGAUUAUUGGGCCUAAAGCAUCCGUAGCCUGCUCUGUAAGUUUCCGGUUAAAUCCAUUAGCUCAACUGAUGGGCCGCCGGAAAAACUACAAAGCUAGGGAGUGGGAGAGGUAGACGGUACUCGGUAGGAAGGGGUAAAAUCCUUUGAUCUAUUGAUGACCACCUGUGGCGAAGGCGGUCUACCAGAACACGUUCGACGGUGAGGGAUGAAAGCUGGGGGAGCAAACCGGAUUAGAUACCCGGGUAGUCCCAGCUGUAAACGAUGCAGACUCGGUGAUGCACUGGCUUGUGGCCAGUGCAGUGCCGCAGGGAAGCCGUUAAGUUUGCCGCCUGGGAAGUACGUACGCAAGUAUGAAACUUAAAGGAAUUGGCGGGGGAGCACCACAAGGGGUGAAGCCUGCGGUUCAAUUGGAGUCAACGCCAGAAAUCUUACCCGAAGAGACAGCAGAAUGAAGGUCAAGCUGGAGACUUUACCAGACAAGCUGAGAAGUGGUGCAUGGCCGUCGCCAGCUCGUGCCGUGAGAUGUCCUGUUAAGUCAGGUAACGAGCGAGAUCCCUGCCUCUAGUUGCCACCAUUACUCUCAGGAGUAGUGGGGCGAAUUAGCGGGACCGCCGCAGUUAAUGCGGAGGAAGGAAGGGGCCACGGCAGGUCAGUAUGCCCUGAAACUUUGGGGCACACGCGGGCUGCAAUGAUAGUGACAGUGAGUUCCUAAACCGAAAGGUGGAGGCAAUCUUCAAACGCUAUCACAGUUAUGAUUGAGGGCUGCAACUCGCCCUCAUGAAUAUGGAAUCCCUAGUAACUGCGUGUCAUUACCGCGCGGUGAAUACGUCCCUGCUCCUUGCACACACCGCCCGUCGUUUCAUUGAAGUUUGCUUUUAGCGAGGUGACGUCUCAUGGCGUAUCG